AUUGUAAUCCCCCUUUUAUAGCAAAAGUUUCUCAGAAUAUAUACAAACCCUAAAAUCAUAUAAAUUUGCUUUUCUAAAUUCUCCAAAAUCUUCCCCAGAAAACUUGUGAUUUUUUCGCACUUCGUCAUGGAAGAACAACCUGGUAAGCAUCGACUCUCUGUGCCUUAACUACUGUAAUUAUCAUAACUGUUAACCAAAUCUCUCUUAUAUUUUAGGGUUAAUAAAUUUGAGUUCGAGUUAAUCAUUGUGAUUAUGUAAUUAGACCUUUUUAAUUUGUUUGUAGCCAAACCAAUUUUUUUAUUUUUUUUUAUUUUUUUUGUUUCUUUUGGAUAGGGACAGAUCUAGGAUUGGAUUCAAGAUGGAACUAAAAAUUUUCAAGCCAGACUAACACUCGAAUUUUUUUUUAAAACUAUUUUUACCCAAAAAUAAUAAUAAUAAUAAAUAAAAAUCUUGGGCUACGGGGGACUGGAGCCCACUACGUCCGUCCGUGCUUUAGGGUUCAUGAUUUGAGUUCUUGGGCUCUUUUUAAGCAUUAAGUUCUUUAGAUUAUAAUGAAAAGUACGAUAGACAAUGUAUUUUUAGUUAUUUUUCUUUCUAUAUAAUGUUGAAUUGAGUUCUUGAUAAAGUUUUUCUUGUGUCGUAAAUGACAGGGUCACCAGUAAAUAUGGAAAAGAGAAAGUGGGAUCAUACCCCAAUAUAUUAUGUGAAAGAGGUUAUACGGAAAUCCAUAAUUGCUAUGUUCAUCAGUGUGAUAGUAUGGAUUAUAAUGAAGGUCCUAUUAAGGGUUUUUGAGCAUUCUUCAAACCAGCAUGUUGAUUUGAUCGACAUUGUCCUUGCUUUAUUCCUCUCCUUUUGUCUCAUAAUCUUGACAAUUUUUCAGAUAUUCUCUAUUUUUCUUACUACUUGUGAAGCAAUUAAGGGUCGGACUUCAUCGAGUAUCUUGGCUACGAGCAUCAAACAAUAGACUUAGAACUGGUCUAAUUUUGUUUUUAUUUAUUUAUUGUUUUCUUUCACUAGUCGAAAACAGUUCAUAACAUUUUUUGUCUGCUUAAUUGAUG
rnacentral:lncRNA from 1 species